ACGGCCAUACCACAUUGAAAACACUUGUUCUUGUCCAUUACCGAAGUUAAGCAAUGUCGGGCCCGGUCAGUACUUGGGAGGGUGACCAUCUGGGAACACCAAGUACUGUAGGCU